AAGAAGUCAGGCCAGAUUAAGCCAUAGUACGGAAAGAGCUAUGCUGCCUGUGAGCCCCGUCCAAGGACGUUAAAUGAAGUCAGGCCGAAAGCCACGGAUUGAGCAAGCCGUGCUGCCUGUGGCUCCAUCGUGGGGAUGUAA
rnacentral:lncRNA from 1 species